rnacentral:rRNA from 1 species
GACGAACCACACAAACGUUAUUCGGAAUUACUGGGCUUAAAGGGUGCGUAGGCUGUGCAGAAAGUUAGGUGUGAAAUCCCCCGGCUCAACCGGGGAAUUGCGCUUAAAACUACUGUGCUAGAGGAAUACAGAGGUAAGCGGAACUUCGGGUGGAGCGGUGAAAUGCGUUGAUAUCCGAAGGAACACCGGUGGCGAAAGCGGCUUACUGGGUAUUUUCUGACGCUGAUGCACGAAAGCUAGGGGAGCAAACGGG